AGGACGAACGCUGGCGGCGUGCCUAAUACAUGCAAGUCGAGCGGACAGAUGGGAGCUUGCUCCCUGAAGUCAGCGGCGGACGGGUGAGUAACACGUGGGCAACCUGCCUGUAAGACUGGGAUAACUCCGGGAAACCGGGGCUAAUACCGGAUAAUUCUUUCCCUCACAUGARGGAAAGCUGAAAGAUGGUUUCGGCUAUCACUUACAGAUGGGCCCGCGGCGCAUUAGCUAGUUGGUGAGGUAACGGCUCACCAAGGCAACGAUGCGUAGCCGACCUGAGAGGGUGAUCGGCCACACUGGGACUGAGACACGGCCCAGACUCCUACGGGAGGCAGCAGUAGGGAAUCUUCCGCAAUGGACGAAAGUCUGACGGAGCAACGCCGCGUGAGUGAUGAAGGUUUUCGGAUCGUAAAACUCUGUUGUUAGGGAAGAACAAGUACCGGAGUAACUGCC
rnacentral:rRNA from 1 species